AGAAGAACAGACGGGCAUUUUCUACUCCAGUCAAGUCUCUUCUCCGUGCGGAGCCCAAAUUUGCGGGAAAGAUUCGAUGUAGCCAAGAUAUUUAUCGUCGAACUUGUUACAUUGUUGCAAUUUUAAUGAAACAGUUUCAGUCACAGUGUUACAAUCAGAUACGUGAUACAAUAUAGUCUCUUGCUCGCCGGGCUAGACAACAACAGUUGCAGAUUCAGUUGUGACCACUAGGAGGUAAUGUUCUCACAUGGAUUGAAGUAGCCAACACUCCCAACCAUUGGGCGAACUGGGACAAAAAUUCAGCCUUGGCAACACUCUAACCACUAGGCUACCCCCUCUGAAUCAGAGAGGUGCCCAUGGAGCAGUUGUUGGGGGUUAACUGCCUUGCUCUAUGGCAGAACAGCAUUUCUUUUCCUAAUAAAGAGGAUGGGGAAACAUACCACGCUACAUCUUGGUCCACUCCUUAUAACGAACGUGACAGAAGAUCCCACCACAAACGGACCAAGCAGUGUGGCCAGGAGGAGCAGACAUCCUGGACAUGGGAGGAGAUCAUCUUGGUCCACUACUUAUAACGAUCGUGACACAGACAGUCCCUGAAUUGACCUUUUUCUUUGUUUUGGCCGGGUAUGGUUCUCAAUCAGGGACAGCUGUCUAUCGUUGUCUCUGAUUGGGAACCAUACUUAGGUACCUUUUUCCCACAUGGUUUCUGUGGAUAGUUCAUUUCUGUUUAGUGUUUUACACCUUACAGGACAGUGUUGGUUAUUCUCUUUGUUAUUUCUGUUAUAGUGUUCAGUUCUAAUAAAAAGCAUGAACACUUACCACGCUGCGCUGUGGUCCGAUGAUUCCUCUUCCUCUUCUUCAGACGACGAAUACCGUUACAAAUGCUCA